rnacentral:rRNA from 1 species
UACGGAGGGAGCUAGCGUUGUUCGGAAUUACUGGGCGUAAAGCGCGCGUAGGCGGCUUUGUAAGUUAGAGGUGAAAGCCCGGGGCUCAACCCCGGAAUUGCCUUUAAGACUGCAUCGCUUGAAUCCGGGAGAGGUGAGUGGAAUUCCGAGUGUAGAGGUGAAAUUCGUAGAUAUUCGGAAGAACACCAGUGGCGAAGGCGACUCGCUGGACAGGUAUUGACGCUGAGGUGCGAAAGCGUGGGGAGCAAACAGG